rnacentral:rRNA from 1 species
UACGUAGGUGGCAAGCGUUGUCCGGAUUUACUGGGCGUAAAGAGCGCGCAGGCGGUCGUUCAAGUCGCGUGUGAAAGCCCCCGGCUCAACUGGGGAGGGUCACGCGAUACUGAUCGACUCGAAGGCAGGAGAGGGUAGUGGAAUUCCCGGUGUAGUGGUGAAAUGCGUAGAUAUCGGGAGGAACACCAGUGGCGAAGGGCGAC